rnacentral:rRNA from 1 species
GAUGAACGCUGGCGGCGUGCCUAAUACAUGCAAGUCGAGCGAACAGACGAGGAGCUUGCUCCUCUGACGUUAGCGGCGGACGGGUGAGUAACACUUGAAUAACCUACCUAUAAGACUGGGAUAACUUCGGGAAACGGGAGCUAAUACCUGAUAAUAUAUUGAACCGCAUGGUUCCAUAGUGAAAGGCGGGUUUGCUGACGAUGAUAGAUGGACCCGCGCCGCAUUAGCUUGUUGGUAAGGUAACGGCUUACCAAGGCAACGAGGCGUAGGCGACCUGGUUUGGGGGUCGGCCACACUGGACCUGCACCACGGUCCAGACCCCAAUGGUAGGCGGCAGUGGGGAAUCUUCCACAAUGGGCGGAAUCAUGACCGGACCCAGCCGCGUGAGUGACGAAGGUCUUCCGAUCGUAAAACUCUGUUAUUAGGGAAGAACAAAUGUGUAAGUAACUAUGCACGUCUUGACGGUACCUAAUCAGAAAGCCACGGCUAACUACGUG